UGUCCAGGGGCGGGAAUCGAACCCACACCCUUCUGCUUACCGGGCAGGUGCCUUGUCCACUUGGCUACCUGGUAGCCGAGUGGAC
rnacentral:tRNA from 1 species